rnacentral:rRNA from 1 species
GAUGAACGCUGGCGGCGUGCCUAAUACAUGCAAGUCGAGCGAACGGACGAGAAGCUUGCUUCUCUGAUGUUAGCGGCGGACGGGUGAGUAACACGUGGAUAACCUACCUAUAAGACUGGGAUAACUUCGGGAAACCGGAGCUAAUACCGGAUAAUAUUUUGAACCGCAUGGUUCAAAAGUGAAAGACGGUCUUGCUGUCACUUAUAGAUGGAUCCUCGCUGCAUUAGCUAGUUGGUAAGGUAACGGCUUACCAAGGCAACGAUGCAUAGCCGACCUGAGAGGGUGAUCGGCCACACUGGAACUGAGACACGGUCCAGACUCCUACGGGAGGCAGCAGUAGGGAAUCUUCCGCAAUGGGCGAAAGCCUGACGGAGCAACGCCGCGUGAGUGAUGAAGGUCUUCGGAUCGUAAAACUCUGUUAUUAGGGAAGAACAUAUGCGUAAGUAACUGUGCACAUCUUGACGGUACCUAAUCAGAAAGCCACGGCUAACUACGUG